GGUCUCGGGGCUGGUAGUAGCGCUGCCUGCAAACCAGCACCAAGGCUGCAAACGAAGCCAGAAAGAUGGUGGCCAGCACACCUAUGGCAACUAUCACCACGGUCUCCAUGCUUCCGGGGAGCUCCUGACUCAGUCCCGUUCACAUCGUCCUCAUGGGCUAAGGCUGCUGGAAGUGGCAAACUGGGGGAAGAGGAUGGCAGGAGCUAGGUUCCUCCACGACACCUCCAGAGACCUGAGGGCCUCAAGCUGCAGCUCCGGGGCACAUCCCGCUGCGCUCCCACGACGGCCCCGCGGAUGGCAAAGCAUCGCCUAUGCAGGCAAUCAAAGGAUGUUGAUGGAUAAGUGUUUCAGGCAGAAUAAUGGCCCUCAAAGAUGUUGACACCAGAAUCUUCAGAACCUUUGCAUAUGUUACCUAACAUGACAAAAGGGACUUUGCUGAUGUGAUUAAGGUUAAGAACUUUGAGAAGGGAAGAUUAUCCUGGAUUAUACAGGUCGACGUUUAUUUCUUUCUGAACUUUCCUGGAGGAUCAUCGGCCAUACUCCAGCAGAAGGGUGGAUUUGAAAAAAUAACGUUUCCACGGCAACAGUGGCAGCAAUUCAAAGGAAGACGUUGGAGAAUUCACAUGCUAUUUUAGCUGGCUCUGUGAUUGCAAUCACACAAAUCAUUACAUUCCAGCGAGAUCCCAUCAACAGAAGGUUUUUCCAUUUCAGUCUGUCAAGCAAGUAUGUUUUCUUAUUGACUCAAAGUGAUUGCAUCUAAAAUAUGAUAACAAGACAGGAUUCUCACUGCCGUAUCUCCCGAUGCCAAUCUCCAAGGAGAUACUCCCAAAGUCCCAUCCAGUUAUAUCAUCAGGUUGAAAUUCCAGGAUCUCUUGGUGAUGGGUAGUUAUCUCCAAGUGUGGCUCCUGGGGUCAGAUCACCUACAGUCUAAGAGAAGGUUCUUUUUCUCCGCCAAUGGUGAUAGAUUUGGCACCAAAAAAAGAAGAGAAGAAACAUGACAGUCAUUGUUUCCACAGUGAUGAGUAAACAGAAACAUCUGAUAACUUCCACCUAGUGCAUGGAGAGCUAGAAUUUGAAGUAGGGCUGACCAAUACCAAAGCCUGAUGUCUAGUGAAAUUCACACAAUGCUGCAAAUCUGAAGACUCUGCAGCAGAUUUUGUAGGUACUUUCAGCAGAGGAGUUUCAGAAAUGCUUUGCACAAACACAGGUUCACCAAGUGAGUGAUCACACGGGAAGACCACGUGGGAAGAUUUUAGGUUGUUUUAUUAAAGUUCAUUGCUGAGAACACAAAGGCUGAUGCCACAGAGGGGAAAACGCCAGAUCCACCACCGAACAGCUAAAGCCAUAUGCGCCUGCUCCAUGAAUGCCCAUUUUUCAUCUUUAGUGGGCUUCAAAGUUAAAUAGCACAGACAACACAAAGGAAAAUAUGACCGCAGCAAAAGACAGAAA
rnacentral:lncRNA from 1 species